UGACGUGCAAAUCGUUUGUCAAACCUGGGUAUAGGGGCGAAAGACUAAUCGAACCAUCUAGUAGCUGGUUCCCUCCGAAGUUUCCCACAGGAUAGCUUGAACGCAACGGUUUUGUCAGGUAAAGCGAAUGAUUAGAGGCCUUGGGGCUGAAACAGCCUUAACCUAUUCUCAAACUUUAAAUGGGCAAGGCGCUGGGUGCUUGAUUGACCCGGUGCGUUGAAUGUGAGUUCCAAGUGGGCCAUUUUUGGUAAGCAGAACUGGCGAUGCGGGAU
rnacentral:rRNA from 1 species